rnacentral:rRNA from 1 species
UGGGGAAUAUUGGACAAUGGGCGCAAGCCUGAUCCAGCCAUGCCGCGUGAGUGAUGAAGGCCCUAGGGUUGUAAAGCUCUUUCACCGGUGAAGAUAAUGACGGUAACCGGAGAAGAAGCCCCGGCUAACUUCGUGCCAGCAGCCGUGGUAAUACGAAGGGGGCUAGCGUUGUUCGGAUUUACUGGGCGUAAAGCGCACGUAGGCGGACUUUUAAGUCAGGGGUGAAAUCCCGGGGCUCAACCCCGGAACUGCCUUUGAUACUGGGAAGUCUUGAGUAUGGUAGAGGUGAGUGGAAUUCCGAGUGUAGAGGUGAAAUUCGUAGAUAUUCGGAGGAACACCAGUGGCGAAGGCGGCUCACUGGACCAUUACUGACGCUGAGGUGCGAAAGCGUGGGGAGCAAA